rnacentral:rRNA from 1 species
AUACGUAGGGGGCGAGCGUUGUCCGGAAUGAUUGGGCGUAAAGGGCGCGUAGGCGGCCCGGUAAGUCUGGAGUGAAAGUCCUGUUUUUAAGAUGGGAAUUGCUUUGGAUACUGUCGGGCUUGAGUGCAGGAGAGGUAAGUGGAAUUCCGAGUGUAGCGGUGAAAUGCGUAGAUAUUAGGAGGAACACCAGUGGCGAAGGCGGCUUGCUGGACGACAACUGACGCUGAGGCGCGAAAGCGUGGGGAGCAAACAGGAUUAGAUACCCUGGUAGUCCACGCUGUAAACGAUGAAUGCUAGGUGUAGGGGGUAUCGACCCCUUCUGUGCCGCAGUAAACACAAUAAGCAUUCCGCCUGGGGAGUACGGCCGCAAGGUUGAAACUCAAAUGAAUUGACGGGG